AGUGAACGCUGGCGGUAGGCCUAACACAUGCAAGUCGAACGGCAGCACAGUAGAGCUUGCUCUUACGGGUGGCGAGUGGCGGACGGGUGAGGAAUACAUCGGAAUCUACUUUUUCGUGGGGGAUAACGUAGGGAAACUUACGCUAAUACCGCAUACGACCUACGGGUGAAAGCAGGGGAUCUUCGGACCUUGCGCGAUUGAAUGAGCCGAUGUCGGAUUAGCUAGUUGGCGGGGUAAAGGCCCACCAAGGCGACGAUCCGUAGCUGGUCUGAGAGGAUGAUCAGCCACACUGGAACUGAGACACGGUCCAGACUCCUACGGGAGGCAGCAGUGGGGAAUAUUGGACAAUGGGCGCAAGCCUGAUCCAGCCAUACCGCGUGGGUGAAGAAGGCCUUCGGGUUGUAAAGCCCUUUUGCUGGGAAAGAAAAGCAGCAGGUUAAUACCCCGCUGUUCUGACGGUACCCAAAGAAUAAGCACCGGCUAACUUCGUG
rnacentral:rRNA from 1 species